UACGGGGGGAGCAAGCGUUGUUCGGAUUUACUGGGCGUAAAGGGCGCGUAGGCGGCCAGCACAAGUCAGUUGUGAAAUCUCCGAGCUUAACUCGGAAAGGUCAACUGAUACUGUGCGGCUAGAGUGCGGAAGGGGCAACUGGAAUUCUUGGUGUAGCGGUGAAAUGCGUAGAUAUCAAGAGGAACACCGGCGGCGAAGGCGGCCAACUGGACGAACACUGACGCUGAGACACGAAAGCGUGGGGAGCAAACAGG
rnacentral:rRNA from 1 species